rnacentral:rRNA from 1 species
AUUGAACGCUGGCGGCAUGCCUUACACAUGCAAGUCGAACGGCAGCACGGGUGCUUGCACCUGGUGGCGAGUGGCGAACGGGUGAGUAAUACAUCGGAACAUGUCCUGUAGUGGGGGAUAGCCCGGCGAAAGCCGGAUUAAUACCGCAUACGAUCUACGGAUGAAAGCGGGGGACCUUCGGGCCUCGCGCUAUAGGGUUGGCCGAUAGCUGAUUAGCUAGUUGGUGGGGUAAAGGCCUACCAAGGCGACGAUCAGUAGCUGGUCUGAGAGGACGACCAGCCACCCUGGGACUGAGACACGGCCCAGACUCCUACGGGAGGCAGCAGUGGGGAAUUUUGGACAAUGGGCGAAAGCCUGAUCCAGCAAUGCCGCGUGUGUGAAGAAGGCCUUCGGGUUGUAAAGCACUUUUGCCCGGAAAGAAAUCCUUGGCUCUAAUACAGUCGGGGGAUGACGGUACCGGAAGAAUAAGCACCGGCUAACUACGUGC